rnacentral:rRNA from 3 species
GACAGGUGCUGCAUGGCUGUCGUCAGCUCGUGUUGUGAAAUGUUGGGUUAAGUCCCGCAACGAGCGCAACCCUUAUCCUUUGUUGCCAGCGGUCCGGCCGGGAACUCAAAGGAGACUGCCAGUGAUAAACUGGAGGAAGGUGGGGAUGACGUCAAGUCAUCAUGGCCCUUACGACCAGGGCUACACACGUGCUACAAUGGCGCAUACAAAGAGAAGCGACCUCGCGAGAGCAAGCGGACCUCAUAAAGUGCGUCGUAGUCCGGAUUGGAGUCUGCAACUCGACUCCAUGAAGUCGGAAUCGCUAGUAAUCGUGGAUCAGAAUGCCACGGUGAAUACGUUCCCGGGCCUUGUACACACCGCCCGUCACACCAUGGGAGUGGGUUGCAAAAGAAGUAGGUAGCUUAACCUUCGGGAGGGCGCUUACCACUUUGUGAUUCAUGACUGGGGUGAAGUCGUAACAAGGUAACCGUAGGGGAACCUGCGGUUGGAUCAC